rnacentral:rRNA from 1 species
CCGGAACUAUGUCUGGAAGUGGCACACUGCUCAGUAACACGUAGCUAACCUACCCUUAGGACGUGGAUACCCCCGAGAAAUUGGGGUUAAUCCGCGAUAGAUGUAAUGUCCUGGAAUGGUAUUACGUCUAAAGGUAUUUCAUACAUGUUUGAAAUAUGCCUAAGGAUGGGGCUGCGGCCGAUCAGGCUGUUGGUGAGGUAAUGGCUCACCAAACCUUUGACCGGUACGGGCCAUGAGAGUGGUAGCCCGGAGAUGGACACUGAGACAAGGGUCCAGGCCCUAAGGGGCGCAGCAACCGCGAAACCUCCACAAUGCACUCACGUGCGAUGGGGCUAUCUCGAGUGCCACCUGAUGAAGGUGGCUUUUCCUUGGUAUUCAAAGCCUUGGGAAUAAGAGGGGGGCAAGACUGGUGUCAGCCGCCGCGGUAACACCAGCCCCUCGAGUGGUGGGGAUGAUUAUUUGGCCUAAAGCGUCCGUAGCCGGCCGUAUAAGUCUCCCGUUAAAUCCAGCGUCUCAAGCGUUGGACUGCGGGAGAUACUGUACGGCUAGAGAGUGGGAGAGGUCAGCGGUAUUCUGGGGGUAGGGGCGAAAUCCUUUGAUCCCCGGAGGACCACCAGUGGCGAAGGCUGCUGACUAGAACACGUCUGACGGUCAGGGACGAAAGCUGGGGUAGCGAACCGGAUUAGAUACCCGGGUAGUCCCAGCCGUAAACGAUGCAUGCUAGGUGUUGGGUUGGCCACGCGCCACCCCAGUGCCGCAGGGAAGCCGUUAAGCAUGCCGCCUGGGAAGUACGAUCGCAAGAUUGAAACUUAAAGGAAUUGGCGGGGGAGCACCACCAGGCGUGAAGCCUGCGGUUUAAUUGGAGUCAACGCCGGGAACCUUACCGGGAGCGACAGCAGAGUGAAGGCCAGAUUGAAGAUCUUGCCAGACGAGCUGAGAGGAGGUGCAUGGCCGUCGCCAGUUCGUGCCGUGAGGUGUUCUCUUAAGUGAGAUAACGAACGAGACCCGUGCCACAUGUUGCCACCAGUAUCUAAAGGAUAGCUGAGCACUCUUGUGGGACCGCAGCCGAUAAGGCUGAGGAAGGUACGGGCAACGGCAGGUCAGUAUGCCCCGAAUCUCCCGGGCCACACGCGGGCUGCAAUGGUAUAGACAGAGGGCUGCCACCCCGAAAGGGGGAGCCAAUCCCUAAACUGUACCU